GCCGAGGUACCCUAGCCUGGUAGGGGGCAGGCCUGGAAAGCCUGUGUCCGCAAGGGCUCGUGAGUUCAAAUCUCACCCUCGGCG
rnacentral:tRNA from 1 species